rnacentral:rRNA from 1 species
UUGGAGGGCAAGUCCGGUGCCAGCAGCCGCGGUAAUUCCAGCUCCAAUAGCGUAUAUUAAAGUUGUUGCAGUUAAAAAGCUCGUAGUUGAACUUCGGGAUCAAUGGAUUGGUCAUGCCGAUGGUAUGUACUGGUCAUAUUGGUUCUCACCUUCUAAGGAACCAUGAUGUCAUUCACUUGGUGUUGUGGGGAAUUAGGACUGUUACCUUGAAAAAAUUAGAGUGUUUAAAGCAGGCUAACGCUUGAAUACAUUAGCAUGGAAUAAUGAAAUAGGACAUCGCAUUCUAUUUUGUUGGUUUCUAGGAUCGAUGUAAUGAUUAAUAGGGAUAGUUGGGGGCAUUAGUAUUCAAUUGUCAGAGGUGAAAUUCUUGGAUUUAUUGAAGACUAACUACUGCGAAAGCAUUUGCCAAGGAUGUUUUCAUUAAUCAAGAACGAAAGUUAGGGGAUCGAA